UACGUAGGGGGCAAGCGUUGUCCGGAAUCAUUGGGCGUAAAGCGCGCGUAGGCGGCCCGGUAAGUCCGUUGUGAAAGUCCAAGGCUCAACCUUUGAACGCCGAUGGAUACUGCCGGGCUAGAGUCCGGAAGAGGCGAGUGGAAUUCCUGGUGUAGCGGUGGAAUGCGCAGAUAUCAGGAGGAACACCAAUAGCGAAGGCAGCUCGCUGGGACGGUACUGACGCUGAGGCGCGAAAGCGUGGGGAGCGAACAGG
rnacentral:rRNA from 1 species